rnacentral:rRNA from 1 species
GACGAACGCUGGCGGCGUGCUUAACACAUGCAAGUCGAACGGAAAGGCCCUGCUUUUGUGGGGUGCUCGAGUGGCGAACGGGUGAGUAACACGUGAGUAACCUGCCCUUGACUUUGGGAUAACUUCAGGAAACUGGGGCUAAUACCGGAUAGGAGCUCCUGCUGCAUGGUGGGGGUUGGAAAGUUUCGGCGGUUGGGGAUGGACUCGCGGCUUAUCAGCUUGUUGGUGGGGUAGUGGCUUACCAAGGCUUUGACGGGUAGCCGGCCUGAGAGGGUGACCGGCCACAUUGGGCCGGAGUUCCGGCCAGACUCCUACGGGAGGCAGCAGUGGGGAAUAUUGCACAAUGGGCGGAAGCCUGAUGCAGCAACGCCGCGUGCGGGAUGACGGCCUUCGGGUUGUAAACCGCUUUCGCCUGUGACGAAGCGUGAGUGACGGUAAUGGGUAAAGAAGCACCGGCUAACUACGUG